CAAGCCUAGCACAUUCAUCCCCUCCUAGGUGAUCUAGCCAUUAGAUCAUAUUAUGUCCACAUCAUUUUUUGUAAUGUCCUAUGCAUCUUGUAUACAAUCCUAUAAUCAUUACUCUUCAUCUAUAAAUCCUUAUUUCUCUAGUCUUCCAAGUUAUCCCAUAUACAUCAUGUCUAUUCUAUUCCUAUCAUUUAUCCAAACCUCCAGCUUCUAUCUUUGAUUUUCAUGGCCGUUAAACCAUAGCUCUGUUU
rnacentral:lncRNA from 1 species